ACGUCAAGUCCUCAUGGCCCUUACGUGUUGGGCUACACACGUGCUACAAUGGUAUCUACAACAGGAAGCAAGACUGCGAAGUUAAGCAAAUCCCUAAAAGAUACCUCAGUUCGGAUUGCACUCUGCAACUCGAGUGCAUGAAGCUGGAAUUACUAGUAAUCGUGGAUCAGCGUGCCACGGUGAAUGCGUUCCCGGGUCUU
rnacentral:rRNA from 1 species